rnacentral:rRNA from 1 species
CGGAUUAGCUAGUUGGUAAGGUAACGGCUUACCAAGGCUACGAUGGGUAGGGGUCCUGAGAGGGAGAUCCCCCCACACUGGUACUGAGACACGGCCCAGACUCCUACGGGAGGCAGCAGUGGGGAAUUUUGGACAAUGGGCGCAAGCCUGAUCCAGCAAUGCCGCGUGCAGGAUGAAGGCCUUCGGGUUGUAAACUGCUUUUGUACGGAACGAAACGGUGAGCUCUAAUACAGUUUGCUAAUGACGGUACCGUAAGAAUAAGCACCGGCUAACUACGUG